rnacentral:rRNA from 1 species
UGCCAGCCGCCGCGGUAAUACGGAGGGGGUUAGCGUUGUUCGGAAUUACUGGGCGUAAAGAGCAUGUAGGCGGAUGAAUUAGUCAGAGGUGAAAGCCCCGAGCUCAACUUGGGAACUGCCUUUGAUACUGUUGUUCUUGAGUACAGUUGAGGUAGGCGGAAUGUGUCAUGUAGCGGUGAAAUGCUUAGAUAUGACACAGAACACCGAUUGCGAAGGCAGCUUACUAAACUGUUACUGACGCUGAGGCACGAAAGCGUGGGGAGCAAACGGGAUUAGAU